rnacentral:rRNA from 1 species
CAAGCGUUGUUCGGAAUUACUGGGCGUAAAGGGCUCGUAGGCGGCCAACUCAGUCGGACGUGAAAUCCCUCGGCUUAACCGGGGAAUGGCGUCCGAUACUGGAUGGCUUGAGUUUGGGAGAGGGAUGCGGAAUUCCAGGUGUAGCGGUGAAAUGCGUAGAUAUCUGGAGGAACACCGGUGGCGAAGGCGGCUCUCUGGGACGGUACUGACGCUGAGACGCGAAAGCGUGGGGAGCGAACAGG